UAUUUAAAUCUCGCGCUAUGUAUAUUUUGUUAUAUUAUACAACCUCAUAUCCGUUGACGUCAGAUGGAAAAUGUACAAUAUAUAAAUAAUGAUAUUUGUUAAUACUAUUUUCGUGGAGAAUACGAGAAAAAAGAAGGGAAUAAAUCGAGUUUAACAAGACGCGAAACGAAGACAGUGUUCGGGAAUUUCAAGACGACAAAAUUAAUUGUGUCA